rnacentral:rRNA from 1 species
UACGGGGGGAGCAAGCGUUGUUCGGAUUUAUUGGGCGUAAAGAGCGUGUAGGCGGCCAGGUAGGUCUGCUGUGAAAACUCGAGGCUUAACCUCGAGCUGUCGGCGGAAACCAUCUGGCUAGAGUCCGGAAGAGGAGAAUGGAAUUCCCGGUGUAGCGGUGAAAUGCGUAGAUAUCUGGAGGAACACCGGUGGCGAAGGCGGCAUCCUGGACCAUUACUGACACUGAAAAGCGAAAGCCAGGGGAGCAAACGGG